GACGAACGCUGGCGGCGUGCUUAACACAUGCAAGUCGAACGGAAAGGCCUUUUCGGAGGUACUCGAGUGGCGAACGGGUGAGUAACACGUGGGUGAUCUGCCCUGCACUCUGGGAUAAGCCUGGGAAACUGGGUCUAAUACCGGAUAGGACCGCACUUUAGUGUGUGUGGUGGAAAGUUUUUUCGGUGUAGGAUGAGCCCGCGGCCUAUCAGCUUGUUGGUGGGGUAAUGGCCUACCAAGGCGGCGACGGGUAGCCGGACUGAGAGGUUGGUCGGCCACAUUGGGACUGAGAUACGGCCCAGACUCCUACGGGAGGCAGCAAUGGGGAAUAUUGCACAAUGGGCGCAAGCCUGAUGCAGCGACGCCGCGUGGGGGAUGACGGCCUUCGGGUUGUAAACUCCUUUCGCCAGGGACGAAGCGUUUUGUGACGGUACCUGGAGAAGAAGCACCGGCUAACUACGUG
rnacentral:rRNA from 1 species